rnacentral:rRNA from 1 species
GAUGAACGCUAGCUACAGGCUUAACACAUGCAAGUCGAGGGACCGGCGCACGGGUGAGUAACACGUAUCCAACCUGCCCUUUACUCGGGGAUAGCCUUUCGCAAGAAAGAUUAAUACCCGAUAUAAAGGAUGGGGAUGCGUUACAUUAGGUUGUUGGUGAGGUACCGCCCCACCAAGCCUUCGAUGGAUAGGGGUUCUGAGAGGAAGGUCCACCACAUUGGAGCUGAGACACGGUCCAAAAUGCUACGGGAGGCAGCAGUGAGGAAGAUUGGUCAAUGGGCGUUAGCCUGAACCAGCCAAGUAGCGUGAAGAAUGAAGGCUUAUGGGUCGUAAACUUCUUUUAUAUAAGAAUAUGUAUUAUAUGAAUAAGGAUCGGCUAACUCCGUGCCAGCAGCCGCGGUAAUAC